UACGAGGGGGGCAAGCGUUGUUCGGAAUUACUGGGCGUAAAGGGCUCGUAGGCGGCCAACUAAGUCGGGUGUGAAAUCCCCAGGCUUAACCUGGGAACUGCAUCCGAUACUGGAUGGCUUGAGUCCGGGAGAGGGAUGCGGAAUUCCAGGUGUAGCGGUGAAAUGCGUAGAUAUCUGGAGGAACACCGGUGGCGAAGGCGGCAUCCUGGACCGGCAUUGACGCUGAGGAGCGAAAGCCAGGGGAGCAAACGGG
rnacentral:rRNA from 1 species